rnacentral:rRNA from 1 species
AUCCUGGCUCAGAUUGAACGCUGGCGGCAUGCCUUACACAUGCAAGUCGAACGGCAGCACGGGUGCUUGCACCUGGUGGCGAGUGGCGAACGGGUGAGUAAUACAUCGGAACGUACCUUAUCGUGGGGGGAUAACGCAGCGAAAGCUGUGCUAAUACCGCAUACGCCCUGAGGGGGAAAGCGGGGGAUCGAAAGACCUCGCGCGAUUAGAGCGGCCGAUGCCUGAUUAGCUUGUUGGUGGGGUAAAAGCCCACCAAGGCGACGAUCAGUAGCUGGUCUGAGAGGACGAUCAGCCACACUGGGACUGAGACACGGCCCAGACUCCUACGGGAGGCAGCAGUGGGGAAUUUUGGACAAUGGGGGAAACCCUGAUCCAGCAAUGCCGCGUGAGUGAAGAAGGCCUUCGGGUUGUAAAGCUCUUUUGUCAGGGAAGAAACACCGGCUCUAACACAGUCCGGGAAUGACGGUACCUGAAGAAUAAGCACCGGCUAACUACGUG